UGGGGAAUAUUGCACAAUGGGCGAAAGCCUGAUGCAGCAACGCCGCGUGAGUGAUGAAGGCCUUCGGGUUGUAAAGCUCUGUCUUUUGGGACGAUAAUGACGGUACCAAAGGAGGAAGCCACGGCUAACUACGUGCCAGCAGCCGCGGUAAUACGUAGGUGGCAAGCGUUGUCCGGAUUUACUGGGCGUAAAGGAUGCGUAGGUGGAUAUUUAAGUGGGAUGUGAAAUACCCGGGCUCAACUUGGGUGCUGCAUUCCAAACUGGAUAUCUAGAGUGCAGGAGAGGUAAGUGGAAUUCCUAGUGUAGCGGUGAAAUGCGUAGAGAUUAGGAAGAACACCAGUGGCGAAGGCGACUUACUGGACUGUAACUGACACUGAGGCAUGAAAGCGUGGGGAGCAAACAGG
rnacentral:rRNA from 2 species